AGUAGCGGAGGCAAAGGGGCGCGAGGGGGUGCUAAAGCACCCCCUUCUCCUGGAAAUUUCACCAGUAUAGCUUACUUGCUCUUUAUUCGUACCCCCUACCUCAGUUCCAGGUCGGUGUGGAAGCAGAAGUGAUGACGAGCUCUCAGAUGACCUACGUUCCAGUGAGGCCUUCGUGCUGAUACAAGGGAUCUUCGACGCCCUCUUCUCUGGCAUCCUACAGAGCUCUAGAUUCAAGGCUGGAUUUGUCUCCGGAUACGUCAUCUCCGCUUCCCACCUCGGCAUGCCCAGACCUCGGCAUGCCCAGACAUCGGACUUUGGAGAUGGCCGAUGUUGCUCGAGCGAUUUGCACUGUGACUCCUAACAUUGUGUUCAUUGUUGAUGCAAGUAAUCACCUUUACGCCUCA